rnacentral:lncRNA from 1 species
CCUUCAUCAAAUCUCCUACUGACCUGCAGACCCUGCAUCGAAUUACAAAUAUGAUAAGGGCUUUCGGUAUCCAAUACCCAGACAGUAGUAUCACAAAUGGAAAAGUUGCAAGGUGUUAUCAUAUAAGUACCUUGCUUCUUCUUCGACCUGUUCGAGUCCAGGGAGGCAAUGUAUAGAGGACAGUUCUUCUUCCAGUGCCCCUGCUUCUUGCAAAAGAAGCACUCCGCCUGGCUCUGGUCGGGCUUGCACUUCUUGGUCUGACCCUGUGCAGACAUCCCAGCAUGCAGCUGCACCUUCUUAUUCUUCUU